GCCCGGUGCACUGGCCCCAAGUGACUUGUGAGCAUUUGAAAUGUGACUGUUGUGAAUCCAAGUGUUCUUGAAAUAGGGAGUCGAUACCAGACUCCUGGAAAGCAGGCUUCCCGAAGUACAGCAAAGGUGCAGAUCUCCUGACACCCCACACGAAGCAGAAGGGGCAGGCACCAAGCACAGUUGGGAAAAGCCCUGGCAGAGUUCCACCGGGAAUUUGAAAAAGGAAAUGUGUGCCCACAGGAUUCCUAGCUCUUCCUUUUUGAACGUUGGCCUCACAGCAGUGAUCAUGUCAAGCAAGUAUUAUUCAGCAGCCCCAGCUGUGUUAGUGUGUAAGGACUUGAACAGAUGCACAGGACAAAGGAACACCCCGUGGAAAUGUGGGGCAAAGCCUGGGACCCUCAGUCCAAAGUAGGAGCUCCUGCACCUCUCUUUAAGCACCUUAAAAUCAAUGAAAGGAGCACUGUAGCAAUAAAGAAUGAAGAGGAGUUUCACAUUCAAAAUCAUUUUGUUGGCUUGACAUCUAUUUCAACCACAACCGGGA